rnacentral:misc_RNA from 1 species
GAAAUAUAAUAAGUAGUAUAAAUUAUAAAAUUUAGUAAAUUAUUAAAUCUUUAAACGUAUAUUACGUCCCUUAGUAUUCUAUAGGGUAUACCUAUUUAAGCGUUAUCUAUAUCCUUAAGCUCUACUUAGUAUUAGGUGUCUAUUCCGCCUUCGCGCGUAGACUCGCCCUAAAUAUAUUAGUAGUAGUCCUUAUUUUCUCCCAUAUAAUAUAUUACGCUUCUCGAGACUACAGCGGCCCGCGUCUAAUAAGCUAAACCCCCUAUCUUUAACCUUAGAUUAGGUAGGGAUACCCGCUAAACUUAAGC